rnacentral:rRNA from 1 species
UGGGGGAUAUUGCACAAUGGGCGAAAGCCUGAUGCAGCGACGCCGCGUGGGGGAUGAAGGCCUUCGGGUUGUAAACUUCUUUUGCUCUGAACAAGGCAUGCCUUUGGGGUGUGUUGAGUGUAGGGGUUGAUUAGCGCCGGCUAACUACGUGCCAGCAGCCGCGGUAAUACGUAGGGCGCGGGCGUUGUCCGGAAUUAUUGGGCGUAAAGGGCUUGUAGGUGGCUGGUUGCGUCUGUCGUGAAAGCUCAUGGCUUAACUGUGGGUUUGCGGUGGGUACGGGCUGGCUUGAGUUGAGUAGGGGAGGCUGGAAUUCCUGGUGUAGCGGUGGAAUGCGCAGAUAUCAGGAGGAAUACCGGUGGCGAAGGCGGGUCUCUGGGCUGUUACUGACGCUGAGGAGCGAAAGCGUGGGGAGCGAACAGG